UAGGGAAUCUUCCGCAAUGGACGAAAGUCUGACGGAGCAACGCCGCGUGAGCGAUGAAGGCCUUCGGGUCGUAAAGCUCUGUUGUUAGGGAAGAACAAGUAUCGGAGUAACUGCCGGUACCUUGACGGUACCUAACCAGAAAGCCACGGCUAACUACGUGCCAGCAGCCGCGGUAAUACGUAGGUGGCAAGCGUUGUCCAGAAUUAUUGGGCGUAAAGCGCGCGCAGGCGGUCCUUUAAGUCUGAUGUGAAAGCCCACGGCUCAACCGUGGAGGGUCAUUGGAAACUGGGGGACUUGAGUACAGAAGAGGAAAGCGGAAUUCCACGUGUAGCGGUGAAAUGCGUAGAGAUGUGGAGGAACACCAGUGGCGAAGGCGGCUUUCUGGUCUGUAACUGACGCUGAGGCGCGAAAGCGUGGGGAGCAAACAGGAUUAGAUACCCUGGUAGUCCACGCCGUAAACGAUGAGUGCUAAGUGUUAGAGGGUUUCCGCCCUUUAGUGCUGCAG
rnacentral:rRNA from 1 species